rnacentral:lncRNA from 1 species
GCAGUAGAGUUCUUAUCUAAGCUUCGGUCUAAUGUGGAGCCAAAUCUGCAGGCUGAAAUUGAUGGCAUUCUGGAUGGACUUUUUCUUCUUCCUUCGGAAGUUCCUGCACUAUCUUCUGCCUCAUACCAAACCAAUCAAACUGAAUUGUCAAAAAACCCUGAAAUCUUAACAGGAUAUUUUCCCCAAGACAAAAGUAAUUUCCAGCAGAUGGAAGUGCCGCCACGACCAGUGGUAAAUCAGACUGUGAAGUGCUUGAAGUUUUCUACAUUUCCUUGGCUACCCCUGACCACCACAGACAGACAUGUCCUCUCCUCUAAUGAAAGAGCCUUUUAUCUCUGUUGAAACUGGCCUUUGGAGGAGAUGGAAAGCAUCGCCUGGCAUUACAGUCAGUGUCCUGCCUGCAGCAGCUGUGCAUGUAUUUAAGAAACAGACUUAACUUUCACCGAGAUCCAGGUUUUUUC